CCUACGGGUGGCAGCAGUGAGGAAUAUUGGUCAAUGGACGCAAGUCUGAACCAGCCAUGCCGCGUGCAGGAAGACGGCUCUAUGAGUUGUAAACUGCUUUUGUACGAGGGUAAACGCAGAUACGCGUAUCUGUCUGAAAGUAUCUUACGAAUAAGGAUCGGCUAACUCCGUGCCAGCAGCCGCGGUAAUACGGAGUGUUCAAGCGUUAUCCGGAUUUAGUGGGUGUAAAGGGUGCGUAGGCGGUCGGAUAAGUUAGAGGUGAAAUCCCGAGGCUCAACUUCGGAAUUGCCUUGGAUACUGUUCGGCUAGAGAGCAGGUGCGGUAGGCGGAAUGUCUGGUGUAGCGGUGAAAUGCUUAGAGAUCAUAAAGAACACCGGUGGCGAAGGCAGCUUAC
rnacentral:rRNA from 1 species